UACAGGGGGGGCAAGCGUUGUUCGGAAUUACUGGGCGUAAAGGGCGCGUAGGCGGCGGGUAAGUCGGGUGUGAAAUCUCAGAGCUCAACUCUGAAACUGACACUCGAUACUGCUCUGCUUGAGGACUGGAGAGGAGACUGGAAGUUCAACGGUGUAGCAGUGAAAUGACGUAGACUAGUCGUGAAGGAAGACCAGUGGCGAAGGGCGGGAUCGUCUGGACCAGUUUCCG
rnacentral:rRNA from 1 species